UACGUAGGGUGCGAGCGUUAAUCGGAAUUACUGGGCGUAAAGCGUGCGCAGGCGGUUCGCAAAGUCUGAUGUGAAAGCCCCGGGCUCAACCUGGGAACUGCAUUGGAAACUAACGGGCUCGAGUGUGGCAGAGGGGGGUGGAAUUCCACGUGUAGCAGUGAAAUGCGUAGAGAUGUGGAGGAAUACCGAUGGCGAAGGCAGCCUCCUGGGCCAACACUGACGCUCAUGCACGAAAGCGUGGGGAGCAAACAGG
rnacentral:rRNA from 1 species